UCCGAUGAUAAUGAGGCUGCAUCCCAUGGAGCAUUGCCAGAAUAUCUAUUUUUUAAUGAAAAUAAAGAGUUAAGAAAGGGAAUGAUAUUCAGGUUGAAAGAACAGGUCUAACGCACCGUGAAACAGUAUGCCAUUCGCACCCACCAUCCUUUCAAAAUCAUUGAGUCAGAUAGAUUUAAAUGGAGCAUUGUGUGUAAACAGUCUGAUAUUUAUAGUUGGCAUCUCCAUGUAUUCAUUCGGAUCAAGAUGC
rnacentral:lncRNA from 1 species